GAUGAACGCUGGCGGCGUGCCUAAUACAUGCAAGUCGAGCGAACGGACGAGAAGCUUGCUUCUCUGAUGUAAGCGGCGGACGGGUGAGUAACACGUGGAUAACCUACCUAUAAGACUGGGAUAACUUCGGGAAACCGGAGCUAAUACCGGAUAAUAUUUUGAACCGCAUGGUUCAAAAGUGAAAGACGGUCUUGCUGUCACUUGUAGAUGGAUCCGCGCUGCAUUAGCUAGUAGGUAAGGUAACGGCUUACCAAGGCAACGAUGCAUAGCCGAGCUGAGAGCAUCAUCCGCCACACUGGAACUGAGCCACGGUCCUGACUCCGACGGGAGGCAGCAGUGGGGAAUGUUCCACAAUGUGCGAAAGCCUGACGGAGCAACGCCGCGUGAGUGAUGAAGGUCUUCGGGUCGUAAAACUCUGUUAUUAGGUAAGAACAUAUUUGAAAGAAACUGUUCACGUCUUGACGGUACCGAAUCAGAAAGCCACGGCUAACUACGUG
rnacentral:rRNA from 1 species